rnacentral:rRNA from 1 species
GACGAACCGUGCGAACGUUGUUCGGAUUCACUGGGCUUAAAGGGCGCGUAGGCGGGCUCGCCAGUCUGUGGUGAAAGCCCCCGGCUCAACCGGGGAAGUGCCGUGGAUACUGUGAGUCUUGAGGAGGGUAGGGGCGUCUGGAACGCUGGGUGGAGCGGUGAAAUGCGUUGAUAUCCAGCGGAACUCCGGUGGCGAAGGCGAGGCGCUGGACCCUUUCUGACGCUGAUGCGCGAAAGCCCAGGGGAGCAAAGCGGG